GAUGAACGCUGGCGGCGUGCCUAAUACAUGCAAGUCGAGCGAACAGACGAGGAGCUUGCUCCUUCGACGUUAGCGGCGGACGGGUGAGUAACACGUAGGUAACCUACCUAUAAGACUGGGAUAACUUCGGGAAACCGGAGCUAAUACCGGAUAAUAUUUCGAACCGCAUGGUUCGAUAGUGAAAGAUGGCUUUGCUAUCACUUAUAGAUGGACCUGCGCCGUAUUAGCUAGUUGGUAAGGUAACGGCUUACCAAGGCAACGAUACGUAGCUGACCUGAGAGGGUGAUCGGCCACACUGGAACUGAGACACGGUCCAGACUCCUACGGGAGGCAGCAGUAGGGAAUCUUCCGCAAUGGGCGAAAGCCUGACGGAGCAACGCCGCGUGAGUGAUGAAGGUCUUCGGAUCGUAAAGCUCUGUUAUUAGGGAAGAACAAACGUGUAAGUAACUGUGCACGUCUUGACGGUACCUAAUCAGAAAGCCACGGCUAACUACGUG
rnacentral:rRNA from 1 species